ACACACCAUCACAAACUGUUAAUACACCUUUGAAUCUGAACUUCCACCAUUGGAUGAUGGAACUACACUGGAGGAAAAUUCAGCCGAGCAAAGAGAGCUGGUGACCAUGGUGACCAUGAGGUGGAAUAAUGCAUCUCAAUCUCUCUUUCCGUGCAGGUGGUGAUGAACACCGGGUCCUCAUCUAUCAACGGCUCAUGAAGAACCUGGAGACACACACAGGCAUUGUUCCUGAACAUGUGCAGCUGAACGACUGCUGCAGCGAGUCCAGGAAGGGCUGGAUCUUGUAGAGGCCCUGGUUGCUUCCCUGCGAUGGCCGGAAAGCCACGAUGUGGAAGUAUUUGAGGAUCUUCUCGAAGCGAGCCUGGCUCAUCUUCAAGGCGAUGCUCCGGUUGCUGAAGAAGCCCGAGCUCCAGAUGCUGAGCACCGACUCACAGCGGUGCACGCUGGUGGAGGUGACGAAGCCCAGGAAGGCCUUCAUCUCCUGCGCCGUGACGGGGCGCCAGCCUUCAUCGGAGCCAAAGCGUUCCUGGAACUUCUUGGCAUACAUGUUGGUCUGGGUGACCAUAUUUUGGAUGCAAUUGUCUGGGACGAAGAGCUGGAAGAAGUCCAAGGCUGUGGCGGUGGCCGGCAUCUUCUGAGCGGGGCCUGGAUCAGGACAGGAAGAGGAAAAAAACAAGAUUAUGACACAGACAGGCAGACAGAGGGUCCCAUAUGGGCUAACUCACAGAAACAACUGUCACUUAAUCCCAGUUUUUCAACUCGGGCACCAUGCCUGCAACUUGACUGACUUUGCUGAAUAAAAGGUUUCUCUUCUGACACUGUAAGACACAAUAAAAUAAGAUUUUUAUAGAGCUGUCACUCUCAAGGCUGUGUGGGAUGCAAAAAAACUGUUUAUUCUUCUUACAUAAUCUCUAUUGUCAUUUCAUAAGAGGACACAUUAACAGAGAGAACAUCCAUUGGUUGAGGUACUCUCUAAAAUAGUCAGAAGAACAUCUUACACUCACAUAUAAUUGCUGUGGUUUUACAUAAAUCAGCCACAGAAGUCUUUGGUGUCAAACAAGCCCAGGGCUACGGUUAGAUUGUUUACACAACAUGACAGCCACCACGCUGCGAUCCGUGUC